AAUCAACGCUGGCGGCGUGCCUCAGACAUGCAAGUCGAACGAGAACCUCCCUUCGGGGAGGGGACAGUGGCGCACGGGUGAGUAACACGUGGGUAAUUUACCUUUGGGUGGGGAACAACAGCCGGAAACGGCUGCUAAUACCGCAUAAUGCAGCGGCUCGACAUCGAGACAGUUGUUAAAGCGGGGAUCGCAAGACCUCGCGCCUGAAGAGAAGCCUGCGGCGGAUUAGCUAGUUGGUAGGGUAAUGGCCUACCAAGGCGACGAUCUGUAACCGGCCUGAGAGGGCGGUCGGUCACACUGACACUGACAUACGGGUCGAGACUCCUACGGGAGGC
rnacentral:rRNA from 1 species